GAUGAACGCUGGCGGCGUGCCUAAUACAUGCAAGUCGAGCGAACAGACGAGGAGCUUGCUCCUCUGACGUUAGCGGCGGACGGGUGAGUAACACGUGGAUAACCUACCUAUAAGACUGGGAUAACUUCGGGAAACCGGAGCUAAUACCGGAUAAUAUAUUGAACCGCAUGGUUCAAUAGUGAAAGACGGUUUUGCUGUCUCUUAUAGAUGGAUCCGCGCCGCAUUAGCUAGUUGGUAAGGUAACGGCUUACCAAGGCAACGAUGCGUAGCCGACCUGAGAGGGUGAGCGGCCACACUGGAACUGAGACACGGUCCAGACUCCUACGGGAGGCAGCAGUAGGGAAUCUUCCGCAAUGGGCGAAAGCCUGACGGAGCAACGCCGCGUGAGUGAUGAAGGUCUUCGGAUCGUAAAACUCUGUUAUUAGGGAAGAACAAAUGUGUAAGUAACUAUGCACGUCUUGACGGUACCUAAUCAGAAAGCCACGGCUAACUACGUG
rnacentral:rRNA from 1 species